rnacentral:rRNA from 1 species
UGCGUAACGCGUAUGCAAUCUACCCUUUACUGGGGAAUAGCCCGGAGAAAUUCGGAUUAAUGCCCCAUAUGCCCACGGAAUCGCAUGGUUCAGUGGGGAAAGUUCCGACGGUAAAGGAUGAGCAUGCGUCCCAUUAGCUAGUUGGUGAGGUAACGGCUCACCAAGGCGACGAUGGGUAGGGGGCCUGAGAGGGUGAUCCCCCACACUGGUACUGAGACACGGACCAGACUCC